rnacentral:lncRNA from 1 species
CGUCCUAAGGUUAAGGAGCGUAAAUCCCAAGCCGAAGUCAGCCAGGCCCUUUCUAGAACUGCCCCCUUCCCCACCGCCCUGUACUGCUGAAGAAUGCAAUGACAGAAUAAAGGACACAGUUCCCUCUAAUUGUGGAAUCCAUCAGAUCAGUGCUUCUCAAUCAUGGAGUCAAUUGUGAAAUGCAGAUUCUGGUUUGACUCCACCAUUCUGCUUGCAAAGAUGCAUCUGUGACUAAGACUUGGUCAAACACAGCACAGUGUUCCUUGAAUCACACAACUGUCCACUCACCCCAACCCAUACAAACUGGG